AACGUAGGGGGCAAGCGUUAUCCGGAAUGACUGGGUGUAAAGGGUGAGUAGGCGGUUCGUUAAGUCAUAUGUGAAAGCCCGCAGCUUAACUGCGGGAUUGCAUAAGAAACUGGGGGACUAGAGUACAGGAGAGGUAAGCGGAAUUCCUAGUGUAGCGGUGAAAUGCGUAGAUAUUAGGAAGAACACCAGUGGCGAAGGCGGCUUACUGGACUGAAACUGACGCUGAGUCACGAAAGCGUGGGGAGCGAACAGG
rnacentral:rRNA from 1 species